GUUAUAACCGGCGAUUUCCGAAUGGGGAAACCCAGUGUGUUUCGACACACUAUCAUUAACUGAAUCCAUAGGUUAAUGAGGCGAACCGGGGGAACUGAAACAUCUAAGUACCCCGAGGAAAAGAAAUCAACCGAGAUUCCCCCAGUAGCGGCGAGCGAACGGGGAGGAGCCCAGAGCCUGAAUCAGUGUGUGUGUUAGUGGAAGCGUCUGGAAAGGCGCGCGAUACAGGGUGACAGCCCCGUACACAAAAAUGCACAUGCUGUGAGCUCGAUGAGUAGGGCGGGACACGUGGUAUCCUGUCUGAAUAUGGGGGGACCAUCCUCCAAGGCUAAAUACUCCUGACUGACCGAUAGUGAACCAGUACCGUGAGGGAAAGGCGAAAAGAACCCCGGCGAGGGGAGUGAAAAAGAACCUGAAACCGUGUACGUACAAGCAGUGGGAGCCUCUUAAUGGGGUGACUGCGUACCUUUUGUAUAAUGGGUCAGCGACUUAUAUUCUGUAGCAAGGUUAACCGAAUAGGGGAGCCGAAGGGAAACCGAGUCUUAACUGGGCGUUAAGUUGCAGGGUAUAGACCCGAAACCCGGUGAUCUAGCCAUGGGCAGGUUGAAGGUUGGGUAACACUAACUGGAGGACCGAACCGACUAAUGUUGAAAAAUUAGCGGAUGACUUGUGGCUGGGGGUGAAAGGCCAAUCAAACCGGGAGAUAGCUGGUUCUCCCCGAAAGCUAUUUAGGUAGCGCCUCGUGAAUUCAUCUCCGGGGGUAGAGCACUGUUUCGGCAAGGGGGUCAUCCCGACUUACCAACCCGAUGCAAACUGCGAAUACCGGAGAAUGUUAUCACGGGAGACACACGGCGGGUGCUAACGUCCGUCGUGAAGAGGGAAACAACCCAGACCGCCAGCUAAGGUCCCAAAGUCAUGGUUAAGUGGGAAACGAUGUGGGAAGGCCCAGACAGCCAGGAUGUUGGCUUAGAAGCAGCCAUCAUUUAAAGAAAGCGUAAUAGCUCACUGGUCGAGUCGGCCUGCGCGGAAGAUGUAACGGGGCUAAACCAUGCACCGAAGCUGCGGCAGCGACACUAUGUGUUGUUGGGUAGGGGAGCGUUCUGUAAGCCUGUGAAGGUGGCCUGUGAGGGUUGCUGGAGGUAUCAGAAGUGCGAAUGCUGACAUAAGUAACGAUAAAGCGGGUGAAAAGCCCGCUCGCCGGAAGACCAAGGGUUCCUGUCCAACGUUAAUCGGGGCAGGGUGAGUCGACCCCUAAGGCGAGGCCGAAAGGCGUAGUCGAUGGGAAACAGGUUAAUAUUCCUGUACUUGGUGUUACUGCGAAGGGGGGACGGAGAAGGCUAUGUUGGCCGGGCGACGGUUGUCCCGGUUUAAGCGUGUAGGCUGGUUUUCCAGGCAAAUCCGGAAAACCAAGGCUGAGGCGUGAUGACGAGGCACUACGGUGCUGAAGUGACAAAUGCCCUGCUUCCAGGAAAAGCCUCUAAGCAUCAGGUAACAUCAAAUCGUACCCCAAACCGACACAGGUGGUCAGGUAGAGAAUACCAAGGCGCUUGAGAGAACUCGGGUGAAGGAACUAGGCAAAAUGGUGCCGUAACUUCGGGAGAAGGCACGCUGAUAUGUAGGUGAAGCGACUUGCUCGUGGAGCUGAAAUCAGUCGAAGAUACCAGCUGGCUGCAACUGUUUAUUAAAAACACAGCACUGUGCAAACACGAAAGUGGACGUAUACGGUGUGACGCCUGCCCGGUGCCGGAAGGUUAAUUGAUGGGGUUAGCGGUAACGCGAAGCUCUUGAUCGAAGCCCCGGUAAACGGCGGCCGUAACUAUAACGGUCCUAAGGUAGCGAAAUUCCUUGUCGGGUAAGUUCCGACCUGCACGAAUGGCGUAAUGAUGGCCAGGCUGUCUCCACCCGAGACUCAGUGAAAUUGAACUCGCUGUGAAGAUGCAGUGUACCCGCGGCAAGACGGAAAGACCCCGUGAACCUUUACUAUAGCUUGACACUGAACAUUGAGCCUUGAUGUGUAGGAUAGGUGGGAGGCUUUGAAGUGUGGACGCCAGUCUGCAUGGAGCCGACCUUGAAAUACCACCCUUUAAUGUUUGAUGUUCUAACGUUGGCCCCUAAUCGGGGUUGCGGACAGUGUCUGGUGGGUAGUUUGACUGGGGCGGUCUCCUCCUAAAGAGUAACGGAGGAGCACGAAGGUUGGCUAAUCCUGGUCGGACAUCAGGAGGUUAGUGCAAUGGCAUAAGCCAGCUUGACUGCGAGCGUGACGGCGCGAGCAGGUGCGAAAGCAGGUCAUAGUGAUCCGGUGGUUCUGAAUGGAAGGGCCAUCGCUCAACGGAUAAAAGGUACUCCGGGGAUAACAGGCUGAUACCGCCCAAGAGUUCAUAUCGACGGCGGUGUUUGGCACCUCGAUGUCGGCUCAUCACAUCCUGGGGCUGAAGUAGGUCCCAAGGGUAUGGCUGUUCGCCAUUUAAAGUGGUACGCGAGCUGGGUUUAGAACGUCGUGAGACAGUUCGGUCCCUAUCUGCCGUGGGCGCUGGAGAACUGAGGGGGGCUGCUCCUAGUACGAGAGGACCGGAGUGGACGCAUCACUGGUGUUCGGGUUGUCAUGCCAAUGGCACUGCCCGGUAGCUAAAUGCGGAAGAGAUAAGUGCUGAAAGCAUCUAAGCACG
rnacentral:rRNA from 1 species